GUUGAAACCAACGUCGAUUCGCGUCGAGUUUGACCUUGUCCGGUCAAAUUAGUUGUCAUCGGAGAAGAUGUAACGCAUUUCACUGCUGGCGCCCGACGGUCAGCGCACUUUGAUCUUUUCCCAACUCAACGGCAAUUAAAUAAAAAGAAGAAAAUCAAAAACCAUCGGGAGAGAGAAAAUGGGUGAGAGUCGUCAUGGAGAGAGUUGUGUGGUGGUGGUGCUUCUUUCUCCUCUCUCUGUCGUCGAGAAAGUUUUUUGGGACAAUCAAUUUCCCCCCCCCCCCCCCCAAAUAAAUAAAGUAAGAAGAAGAUUAUGGAUGGGCUUUCUCGACUUUUUUGUGGCUUAGUUCAUGAAGAAGAAUUAAAAAGAAAAAAGUUCUCUCUAAUCGACUACUAGGAGCCCAUGAAUCAGAUGACGUCAUCCACCUGUUGCUGGCCGCCAUAAUUCCCUCGGGUGACGUCAUACUACAAUGUUGUUUACAAUCGUUUUUGAAUGAUUCAUGAUUCAAAUACUAGGCACAACAAAAUUCCCCCACGAUUUCGCCAUUUGAAUCACGUCCGGAAACCGAGAGUCGGACACAUUCCAAGUCUAUCGGCAAGGAUACAAAUUGCAUUCAUUAAUUAAAUGCUGCUUUUUUUAUCCCCCAAAAAAGCGCUAAAUCAAAUCACAAGAUAACGCUUUCCCUUUUUUGUUUCGUUCGUUCGGGAAAAAACAUGCACAAUUUUUCUUGUCGUGUUGUUUUUUCCCGCCCUAAAUUCUUCCUGUACUUUCUCCAAGGCUUUUCCCAUGAGGAAAAAGAUUUCGUGAAACCAGAAAGAAAGAAAAAAGAGCUUUUACUUGUUAAUAACGAAGAAGGAGACCCGCAUUUAUUUAUUUUUAAUAUUAUAUUUUUUUUUAAAUAAGAAAGAGUGUUGGCUGGCGGGGAGAAUCGAUCCCGGAAGUCUUUUCGAUUUUUUUUCAUUCGACGCUAAAGUUAUUAUGACGGCCAGCACAGACGGAAGUUUUUUUUCGCUCACCAGAUGGCCUUGAAUUUUCACGCAAGUAUAGCGAUCGUUUGCUGCUGCUGCUACAACCUCGUCUCGUUUUGUUGAUUCCUGGGAUAUGAAUCCCCCCCUCUCUUUUAUUUUAUUUUUUAAAUAAACAAAACAACCUUGGCGAACUUUAAAAAAAAAAAUCCAAAGUGAUUCCUAUUUACGAAUGUAUCAAAAAGUUGCAGCGAUUUCCUGUCCGACGAAACGAACGUCCAUCAAAAGCUUUCUCCUCCUCUCGAAAAAAUCUAGUGUGGCGCGCACUCGCCCUUUUUCCAUUUCCCCGACGAAAGGAUACCGUAGGAUGAGAGCAGACGACGCAGCGGCUGCUUUUCAAAACUACGCGCCAAGCCCAAUUUCUGCACUUUCUCCGACCUCAUUUUUUCCGCCUCUAGGCUCUGCGAGCGACCAGCUAGAACUUAACAACCGAAAGAAGAAAGAAAGAAAACAAAUCUUUUGAAUUGAUCUUUUAAAGAAAAAUUUGAAAAAAUAAAAAAAUAUAUAGAAAAACGGGGGAAAGUUUUAUGAUCAUUGAGUGUGUUGUAUAAUAUCGCCAUCAGGCAAAGUCAGAACUAUUAUAUUAUAUCCUUUCUGGCGUGUAUAUAGAAAAAUAAUGAAACAUCCGGUUCGUUAUUUCAUUCACCCUCUCUUGGUAAUUUGACGCAAUCAAGGAAUUACUAACAAGAAACCCAAGAGGAGAGUGAUGAACGCACCGCGUGAGUCACGCGGGAGAAAAGAAAGAGAAACAAAAAUUUGUGUCGGCCUGCUGCUGGGGAAAAUCU
rnacentral:lncRNA from 1 species